AUGAAGAUGACAACCAAUUCGAGAAGGACAAUUUCUGGCAGCACUAACUCUACCAACCUUUUGUCCCAAAAGAGUAAUGUGAACUCAUCUCACCCUUCAUCUGAGAAGCGUAGAGGAAGACGCAUGAGAGCUACUAUUGAAUUAAGAGUGCCUCCACGUGGUCGCAAAGUUGGCCUUCAACCUAAAGGUGAAAGGCAAUUUAAGUAUGUACCCUAUCAUCCCAAGAACUACAAGUACACUACACAACUUGGAGUUCUUCUCAAACGUGAAUACCCAGGAAAAAUAGAAGAAAAAAAUGAUGAUGGUGUCAUCACUAAUACGCGCCCGGCUUUGGAGUGGUACGAUUACUAUCAUGAUUCGACCCUAGAUUUUCAGCAACGGACAGCCGCAGAUCGUGUGAAGGAAGAGUUUUGGAACUUGUUUGAGCUGCAUGUGGAUGACGAGGAAGAUGAUAGUGCCCGAAUCCGAAUUGAGGAAGAGGCUAACCGGAUUAUUGACACCUAUGCAAGGAAAAAGGUGAAAGACAUGUUGUACCAACUGCGUGUGGAUGCUGUGAAGCUUUACUAUGAGAAUCAAGGAGAGAAGCUUGAUGACUCGAUGGCUUGUGCAAGAGAACUUGAAUAUGAGCAAUACCUCCAGAGUAGGAUACCAUGGUGCAAGGAAGUUGCAUGGCCUGGACUAUGUCGUUAUUGGACAUCAAAGGGAUACAAGACCAACAGGGGGAGGGGACGAGAAGCUCGCUUGAAAUCUGAGGAUAUUGCUCAAAACAGAGGAGGCUCACGACCUUUUGCGGAGGCACAACAAUAUUUGGAAGAGACUCUUGGACCCGAGAAGGCGACGACGCUGAAUACAUAUACUGCAAUGAAAUGUGGAAUGAAGAAUGUGAGUAGCAGCGGCAACAAUGGUGCAAUCAUUAGCAAUGGUGCAAUCAUGAGCCAGAAGGCACAAAAAUGCAUUGAUGACUAUACUACAUUGGUCAAAGAGAAGUAUCCAGAUAAUUGGGAGGGAAGAGAGUUGGACGGUGAGCUGUUGUAUGAAGCAUCAGGUGGCAUUCCUCAUGGUCGUGUGUCAAUAGGCGAUGGGGUUGUUAAGAAAGAAGAUAUUAAAUCAGCAGCUAGGAAAAGGAAUGCCAGUGCACCAAUUUCGCUCACACUUCGAGAGAAGGAACAACUCAGGCGUGCUAAUGAAGAAAAUGCAGAACUCAGGCGUGCUAAGGAGAUGCUACAGCAGAAAGUAGAUAUGCAUGGGCAGCUCAUAACUGCACUUUUCAAGGAGAUAGGAAAAGAGUUGCCAGCGCAUAUACUACAUAUACUAAGCCAUGGAGCUGUUUUGCAACCAGAAGGGACAAAUAACUCGUCUCAAGCCGGCUCACAAGCGGUUGAUGGCAACAAUGAUGUCAUGGAGUCGAGCGAGGAGAACGACACCACUGGGAAUGUCGGUGAUCAGAUCGUUGACGCAGCAGCCAACCAUGGCGGAAACUGA
rnacentral:rRNA from 1 species